CAGAAUAAGCAGACAGUGACGGUAUUUUCGUAAUUUAUUGUCAGAAAGACAUCCUGGGCCCCUGCCCUAGCACCUUUCGGUGUCGUUUGCCCGGGGGUAACGCAGGGAGGGGUGUCCCCUUGUGCCGAGGGCACUGCCAUCACCCCGGGCUAACCCUCCCGUCGGGCAAGGGCCGUGCCGGCGCGGCUCCCGGGCCGUCUCCGGAGGGGCUCAGGGUGGCCGCGGCGAGGCAGGACCUCUCACUCUCCCACCGCCUUCUCUCCCACAGCCAUCUCUUUGUGGCACGGAAACCCUUUAAUUUUUUUGCAGGCUGCUGAGCGGAGAGGCUUUCCCUGGGCAGCAAGCUCCUGCCUGCCUGCCUCCGGGUCAGAAGGGAUUUCCCCGUGUUUUCGGCAGAGGCAGCUGUGAGACCGGCUUUGGACUACAGGGCCCGCGGGACGUUUGGAGCCCGGACCUUUGCAGGAGACGUUUAACCCCCAGCGCUGCGGGCAGAGCUCCUGGCAAGGGGAACCAUCUCUCCUUCUCCAUGCCAAAAACGCGGCGCUCAACAGAUCGCUCAGUUCCUAUCACCCUCCCGACAGAUCACAACGGCAGCGCUGAGGUGUGAAGAACAACAGAAGCAGACUAAGGACCUGACUCAUCACUCCACCUUUUUGCUUAUCCUUAAAAAUAUAUGCAUAUAGCCUCAAAAUUAUGCCAUACAAAGGUGCAUGACAUCCAUUCCCUUACAUAAAAUGGCAAUUUCUGUGGGAUUGUAGCCAGAUUAUUACAUGGUACAGUGAAGUCAAAGUCAAGUUCAGCUGAGGAUAAAAACCACAGUGUUUGCUUAGACUUCUUGUUAUUUCAGUACACAGGGAUAAAAAACAAUUGAUUCAUCUGGAGCUCUUCAUUUCCAGCAUAAUUUUAAUUGUUUUAUUAAACACAACAAUGUUAUUAUUCUGACUUAACUAUGUUUGGUUAUGUGUAUCUUAACCUUGCGUUCCAUUCAGAAAAAAAAAAAAAAGUGACAAUGAAAUAUUUCCUUGGACUUUGUGAUGGUCAGUGAAGUCUUGUGGGCACCUCUGGGAUAAAUAGUGGAUUAAAAAGAGACUUUUAUUCUGAAUCAGAAACAAGAAGCAUCUUUUUGUCUGAUGUUUGGUUCUUGCUUUCUGUCCUGUGCUGAUAUUCCCAGUGUUCCUACAUAGGGGUUUUCCCUUUUUGAUAUAUCUACUAAGGUCAGUUUAAAAAAAAAUCUGAAAUCCACUGAGAUUUGGCUCAAAAAAAACCCAAAACCC